CGCUCCGGUCCCUGGAGGCUGCAGCUGCCCACGUGCCAAGUGCUCUGCUAAAUGCAGCUUCUGCGCAUGCGGGGCUCUGCCCCCCCUCGAUCUGCGCAUGCCCAGAGCAGGGAAACACGGCGGGCCGGGGGUUCCAUCUGUCCGUGCCCCAGCCUCUGUGGGCGGGACAGAGACAAGCGCUCAAGCGGCACAAAUCCCUUCUCCGGCUCCGGGAGAGGCUCCAACGGCCCCGCACGAGCCAGGCAGAGCCGCAGCGUCCCGGACGCGUUCGCAGCCCGGCUCGUCCUCCCCCCAGCCCAACGUCACUUCCGCUCCCGGGGGAGUCAGGAACUACAUCUCCCAGCCUGCCCCAGGGGCGCUUCCGCCCUCUGCAGCCGAGAUGAAGGGUUGCCCAGUGUCUGCCUGGAGAAUCUCAUCAUGGCCUGUAUCCACUACUCUUAUGAACUGGCGAAGGUGCCCCUGCCCACUAGCAUGAUGGGUCAUUCCACUAGGGCGCCGGCAUCAUCAUCAGCCUUCUUGGUGCAGGUGCCGAUCCUAAAAAUCUGUCUGGCUACAACCUGGGUUUCCAGUUUCCAAACCUAAUGUGAUCUCGCAGCUGGAACGAGGGGAAGAACCGUGGGUCCCAGACCUCCAGGGCUCUGAGAAAGAAGUGCUCCCGAGAACUGCCUGCACAAGCAGUGACCUAUGUCUGGAUUCUCUCUGUCUCCCAUCAGGUGUUGGGAUGGUGGGUGAGAAUGAGGAGGAGAAACCCCAGCAGGAAGAUGCUGAGCAAGUAGAACCACAUGGAACAUUAUCAGGAAGAUCCAAAGGGAAUGUUUCCGGGAUUUGUGGACUCCCAGAAAAAUCAAAAGCCUGUGAGACUCAGCAGAGGCCAGAGGAAAACUUCAGUAGCCACUCAGACCUUAUUACACAUGAGAGAAUCAACUUGGAAGAGACACGCUACACAUGCCAUGAGUGUGGGAAAAGCUUCAAUGGGAGCUCUCACCUUCUCAGACAUCAGGGAAUCCACAGAGGAGAGAGACCCUACACAUGUUCUGAGUGCGGUAAUAGUUUCAAUCAGAACUAUACCCUCAUCAGACAUUGGAGAAUCCACACUGGAGAGAAACCCUACACGUGCUCUGAGUGUGGGAAAAGCUUCAAUCAGAGCUCAAACCUUAUCAGACAUAGGAAAAUCCACACAGGUGAGAAACCUUAUGAAUGCUCUGAGUGUGGGAAACACUUCAUUCAUAGUUCAGCCCUCAUCUCACAUCAGAAAAUCCACACAGGAGAGACACCCUACAUAUGCUCUGAGUGUGGGAAAAGCUUCAAUAAUAGCUCUGACCUGAUCACACAUCGUAGAAUCCACACAGGAGAGAAACCAUACACGUGCUCUGAGUGCGGGAAAAGCUUCAAUCAGAGCUCAAUCCUUACUAGACAUCAGAAAAUUCACAUGAGAGAGAACUGUAAUAAAUGCCUUGACUAGAGCUGGCCAAAGAUUUUUCUUUAAAAAAAAUCACAUUUGCUGAUUCCCACAGAGCGAUCUUUGUACCAUCUUCACUGUGGUCUCUCAGCUCCCCCAGAUGAGUUGCCUGCUUCUGCCUUUUUCAGCUCAACCUCCUUUGGGGUCAGUCCUGUGAUCUAUUCUAUCAAUACCUUUCCGUUCGAGUCAAAGGAGUGUGUGUCCCUCCAGCCAGGAAUGUUCAUCAGCUCCAGGUGGGAGAGAGAGAUUUGAUCCCAACAAGCUACACUGAGGCAAAAAUUACCUCUGCCUUACAUCCACUAGGACUGUACAUGGCGUUGGCUGCUCAAGUUAGUGAUCUUGAUGUAAAAAGACAAUUAUAGUUGUAGUGCAGAUGCAGCCCAGAUGUGUAAGAGGCUGAUUCUGUGAUAACUUUCAGUUUUACAAUAUGAUUCAGGUUUUCUUCUAGUUCUCUCCCUGCCCCCUCCUACUGUAUCAGAAAUGGUGGCUAAUCCUGAAAUUAAAACCUCACUCCAAAGGAAUUAGAGUGGGGGAAUAUGUGAGAGAAGUAGCAUGUAAGAGAAUAGAGACCCAGUACGAACUGUAAUUAUUUCUAUUUCUGUUAAGAGAAAAAUUACUUGAGACAAGAUGUGUAACCUUUUACCCAUCCCCUAAACUGCUGAUGUGUUUUUGUUUGUUUGUUUAAACAGUCUCUCCUCCAGUGGUUGCUUUUUAAUAAAAGAAUAGUUUUGGUUUGAAA